rnacentral:rRNA from 1 species
GGUUAAGUGACGAAGCGUACAGGGCGGAUGCCUUGGCAAUCAGAGGCGAAGAAGGACGUGCUAAUCUGCGAAAAGCUUGGAUGAGUUGAUAAGAGGCGUUUAAUCCAAGAUAUCCGAAUGGGGAAACCCGAUGGAUGAAGAAUCCAUCAUUGCUUGAUGAAUUCAUAGUCAAGCAAGGCGAACCGGGAGAACUGAAACAUCUAAGUACCCCGAGGAAAAGAAAUCAACCGAGAUUCUGUGAGUAGCGGCGAGCGAAAGCGGAGCAGCCGGUGAGUAAUAACAAUAGGAUUAGGAGAAUGAACUGGGAAGUUCAACGACACAGGGUGAUAGUCCCGUAUCUAAAAAUCCGAUUGUGGUACUAAGCUCACGACAAGUAGGGCGGGACACGAGGAAUCCUGUCUGAAGAAGGGGGGCCCAUCCUCCAAGGCUAAAUACUCCUGAUUGACCGAUAGAGGACUAGUACUGUGAAGGAAAGGCGAAAAGAACCCCGGUGAGGGGAGUGAAAUAGAACCUGAAACCCUGUACGUACAAGCAGUGGGAGCCCCUCACCUAGAUUUAUUUAAAGUUGCGAUGAUAUGAAAAAGUCAUUGAAUGGAUAAGUUUGGGUGAGGCUUAAGGAAGAGGAGUAAAUCUAGGUGAGGGGUGACUGCGUACCUUUUGUAUAAUGGGUCAGCGAGUUAUAUUUUGUAGCGAGGUUAACCGUAUAGGGGAGCCGAAGGGAAACCGAGUCUUAACUGGGCGGAUAGUUGCAAGGUAUAGACCCGAAACCCGGUGAGCUAGCCAUGUGCAGGUUGAAGGUUGGGUAACACUAACUGGAGGACCGAACCGACUCAUGUUGAAAAAUGAGCGGAUGACGUGUGGCUGGGGGUGAAAGGCCAAUCAAACCGGGAGAUAGCUGGUUCUCCCCGAAAUCUAUUUAGGUAGAGCCUUAUGUGAAUACCUUGGGGGGUAGAGCGCUGUUUCGGCUAGGGGUCCAUCCCGGAUUACCAACCCGAUGCAAACUGCGAAUACCGAAGAGUAAUGCAUAGGAGACACACGGCGGGUGCUAACGUUCGUCGUGGAGAGGGAAACAACCCAGACCGCCAGCUAAGGUCCCAAAGUUUAUAUUAAGUGGGAAACGAAGUGGGAAGGCUUAGACAGCUAGGAUGUUGGCUUAGAAGCAGCCAUCAUUUAAAGAAAGCGUAAUAGCUCACUAGUCGAGUCGGCCUGCGCGGAAGAUGUAACGGGGCUGAAAUAUAGCACCGAAGCUGCGGCUUUCAGAGGACAGAUUACAGAAGACAGAGGACAGCUAAAUGGUUAUUGAAACACAAAUUAAGGAUUACAGCGAUUUAAAUGUUUGGAAAUUAGCUUAUCAAUGUUCAUUAGAGAUACAUAGAUUAAGUUUAACCUUUCCACAAAUAGAACAGUUUGAAUUAGGUAGUCAAAUACGAAGAGCGAGUAAAGGCAUCUGUGCCAAUAUUGCGGAAGGUUUUGGCAAACAAAACGUAAGUAAAGCAGAGUUUAAACGCUUUAUCUUAAUGGCAAUGGGCAGUGCGGAUGAAAUGCGAGUAUGGUUAAUGUAUGGCAAGGAUUUAGGUUAUAUAGAAAUCAAUCGCUAUCAACAUCUAGAAAAACAGUAUCGCAAUAUAGCCAAAAUGCUCAAUGGCUUGCAUAAAAGCUGGCAAUAAACAUUUAUCUGUCAUCAGUCUUCUGUCAUCUGUCCUCUGACAGGGUAGGGGAGCGUUGUGUAAGCGGAUGAAGGUGACUUGAGAGGGUUGCUGGACGUAUCACAAGUGCGAAUGCUGACAUAAGUAACGAUAAAACGGGUGAAAAACCCGUUCGCCGGAAGACCAAGGUUUCCUGUCCAACGUUAAUCGGGGCAGGGUGAGUCGGCCCCUAAGGCGAGGCUGAAAAGCGUAGUCGAUGGGAAACGGGUUAAUAUUCCCGUACUUGGUAAAGCUGCGAUGUGGGGACGGAGUAGGUUAGGUUAGCAGUCUGUUGGAUUAGACUGUUUAAGCGUGUAGGUGGAGAGAGUAGGCAAAUCCGCUCUCUUAUUCAACACUAAGGCGUAAUGACGAUGUUCUACGGAACAGAAGUAACCGAUACCACGCUUCCAGGAAAAGCCACUAAGCGACAGGCUUUAUUGAACCGUACUGAAAACCGACACAGGUGGUCAGGUAGAGAAUACUCAGGCGCUUGAGAGAACUCGGGUGAAGGAACUAGGCAAAAUGGCACCGUAACUUCGGGAGAAGGUGCGCUUACGGUAAUUGUAGUCCCCAGCGGAUGAAGGUGAAGUAAGUCGAAGAGACCAGCUGGCUGCAACUGUUUAUUAAAAACACAGCACUCUGCAAACACGCAAGUGGAGGUAUAGGGUGUGAUGCCUGCCCGGUGCUGGAAGGUUAAUUGAUGGUGUUACCUCUCACCUAGAUUGUUUUGGAGUUGAAAUGAAUUAUGUUUAUCUGCUGUAUAGCGAAACAUUAGAUGAGUUUUAUUUAGGGAGUACAACCGAUUUAAAACGCAGAUACCGAGAGCAUUGUUCGGGAUUAAAUCAGUCAACGAAGAAAGCGGCAGAUUGGAUAGUGAGUUAUUAUGAAGCGUAUUUAACGGAGCAAUCUGCGAGAAAGCGAGAGCAAUCUCUGAAACGAAGUGGCAAAGCGUAUGCGAGCCUUAAAGAGAGAGUAAGAGAAAGUUUAAGACAAUCUAGGUGAGGGGGAAGCAUCUGAUCGAAGCCCCAGUAAACGGCGGCCGUAACUAUAACGGUCCUAAGGUAGCGAAAUUCCUUGUCGGGUAAGUUCCGACCUGCACGAAUGGCAUAAUGAUGGCCAGGCUGUCUCCACCCGAGACUCAGUGAAAUUGAAAUCGCCGUGAAGAUGCGGUGUACCCGCGGCUAGACGGAAAGACCCCGUGAACCUUUACUAUAGCUUGACACUGAACCUUGAAUUUUGAUGUGUAGGAUAGGUGGGAGACUUUGAAGUAGGCACGCCAGUGCUUAUGGAGUCGCUCUUGAAAUACCACCCUUUAAGGUUUGAUGUUCUAACGAAGAGCGGACACCCGCUCUCGGACAGUGUCUGGUGGGUAGUUUGACUGGGGCGGUCUCCUCCCAAAGAGUAACGGAGGAGUACGAAGGUUGGCUAAUGACGGUCGGACAUCGUCAGGUUAGUACAAUGGUAUAAGCCAGCUUAACUGCGAGACGGACAUGUCGAGCAGGUGCGAAAGCAGGUCAUAGUGAUCCGGUGGUUCUGCAUGGAAGGGCCAUCGCUCAACGGAUAAAAGGUACUCCGGGGAUAACAGGCUGAUACCGCCCAAGAGUUCAUAUCGACGGCGGUGUUUGGCACCUCGAUGUCGGCUCAUCACAUCCUGGGGCUGAAGUAGGUCCCAAGGGUAUGGCUGUUCGCCAUUUAAAGUGGUACGCGAGCUGGGUUUAGAACGUCGUGAGACAGUUCGGUCCCUAUCUGCCGUGGGCGUAGGAGAAUUGAGGGGGGCUGCUCCUAGUACGAGAGGACCGGAGUGGACGCAUCACUGGUGUUCCGGUUGUGUCGCCAGACGCAUUGCCGGGUAGCUAAAUGCGGUAGAGAUAAGUGCUGAAAGCAUCUAAGCACGAAACUUGCCUUAAGAUGAGUUCUCCCUGACUUAAAGUCAGUAAGGGUUGUUUAAGACGAAGACGUAGAUAGGUGGGGUGUGUAAGUGAUGAGAGUCAUUGAGCUAACCCAUACUAAUAGCCCGAGGGGCUUAACCAU